UAGGGAAUCUUCCGCAAUGGACGCAAGUCUGACGGAGCAACGCCGCGUGAGUGAAGAAGGAUUUCGGUUCGUAAAACUCUGUUGUUAGAGAAGAACAGCGCAUAGAGUAACUGUUAUGCGUGUGACGGUAUCUAACCAGAAAGCCACGGCUAACUACGUGCCAGCAGCCGCGGUAAUACGUAGGUGGCAAGCGUUGUCCGGAUUUAUUGGGCGUAAAGCGAGCGCAGGCGGUCAAUUAAGUCUGAUGUGAAAGCCCCCGGCUCAACCGGGGAGGGUCAUUGGAAACUGGUUAACUUGAGUGCAGAAGAGGAGAGUGGAAUUCCAUGUGUAGCGGUGAAAUGCGUAGCUAUAUGGAGGAACACCAGUGGCGAAGGCGACUCUCUGGUCUGUAACUGACGCUGAGGCUCGAAAGCGUGGGUAGCAAACAGG
rnacentral:rRNA from 1 species